rnacentral:misc_RNA from 1 species
UCAUUUCCUUGGCCAUCAUUUGCCACCUUAAGUACUGAAGUCUUAUUAGGUUCAACCAUUUGAUAAGCUGGGUGAACUUCAUAUCCUUCACCAUCAUUUGCCUGGACCUGCACCUGAAAGUUGCAUGGAACGUUAUGAGGCUGAACCAUACGAUUAGCCAAGUCAAAUUUAUUUCCUUGGACAUCAUUUGCCUCUUCCACUAGAAUUUUCUGAUGCUGAACCAUUUGACCAGCCGAGUGAAACUCAUUUCCUUGGCUACCAUUCGCAUCCUCUUCUACUGGAAUGUUACUAGGUUCAAGCACUUGAUAAGCUGGGUGAGAUUCAUUUCCUUGGCCAUCAUU